rnacentral:tRNA from 1 species
CGAAAUAUAGCUUAACUAAAGCAUCUCGCUUACACCGAGAUAAUGCCCGCUAAACCCCGGCUAUUUCGCG